rnacentral:rRNA from 1 species
CCUACGGGUGGCAGCAGUGAGGAAUAUUGGUCAAUGGACGGAAGUCUGAACCAGCCAUGCCGCGUGCAGGAAGACGGCUCUAUGAGUUGUAACCUGCUUUUGUACAAGGGUAAACCUGACUACUUGUAUUCAGCUGAAAUUACUGUACGAAUAAGGAUCGGCUAACUCCGUGCCAGCAGCCGCGGUCAUACUGAUGAUCCACGCGUUAUCCGGAUUUAUUGGGGUUAAAGGGUGCGUAGGCGGAUUGAUAAGUUAGAGGUGAAAUGUCCGGGCUUAACUCGGGAACUGCCUUUAAGACUGUUUAUCUAGAGAGUAGAUGCGGUAGGCGGAAUGUAUGGUGUAGCGGUGAAAUGCUUAGAGAUCAUACAGAACACCGAUUGCGAAGGCAGCUUACCAAUCUAUAUCUGACGUUGAGGCACGAAAGCGUGGGGAGCAAACAGGAUUAGAUACCCUAGUAGUC